rnacentral:rRNA from 1 species
GUUGUAUGGUUAAGUGACUAAGCGUACAUGGUGGAUGCCUUGGCAGUCAGAGGCGAUGAAGGACGUACUAACCUGCGAUAAGCCGUGAGCAGUCGGUAAGAGACAUUACGACUCACGGAUUUCCGAAUGGGGAAACCCACUUAGCAUAAGCUAGGUAUCGCUACGUGAAUACAUAGCGUAGCGAGGCGAACCGGGAGAACUGAAACAUCUAAGUACCCCGAGGAAAAGAAAUCAACCGAGAUUCCCUCAGUAGCGGCGAGCGAACGGGGAUUAGCCCUUAAGCAUCUUGGAAGUUAGUGGAACGGUCCUGGAAAGGCCGGCGAUACAGGGUGAUAGCCCCGUACACGAAAACAACCUUGAUGUGAAAUCGAGUAGGGCGGGACACGUGACAUCCUGUCUGAAUAUGGGGGGACCAUCCUCCAAGGCUAAAUACUCCUGACUGACCGAUAGUGAACCAGUACCGUGAGGGAAAGGCGAAAAGAACCCCUGUGAGGGGAGUGAAAUAGAACCUGAAACCGUGUACGUACAAGCAGUGGGAGCCCUUCGGGGUGACUGCGUACCUUUUGUAUAAUGGGUCAGCGACUUACAUUUUGUAGCGAGGUUAACCGUAUAGGGGAGCCGUAGGGAAACCGAGUCUUAACUGGGCGUCUAGUUGCAAGGUGUAGACCCGAAACCGGGUGAUCUAGCCAUGGGCAGGUUGAAGGUUGAGUAACAUCAACUGGAGGACCGAACCCACUAACGUUGCAAAGUUAGGGGAUGACCUGUGGCUGGGGGUGAAAGGCCAAUCAAACUCGGAGAUAGCUGGUUCUCCCCGAAAGCUAUUUAGGUAGCGCCUCGGACGAAUACUACUGGGGGUAGAGCACUGUUUGGGCUAGGGGGUCAUCCCGACUUACCAACCCCAUGCAAACUCCGAAUACCAGUAAGUAAUAUCCGGGAGACACACGGCGGGUGCUAACGUCCGUCGUGAAGAGGGAAACAACCCAGACCGCCGGCUAAGGUCCCAAAGUUCUGGUUAAGUGGGAAACGAUGUGGGAAGGCUCAGACAGCUAGGAUGUUGGCUUAGAAGCAGCCAUCAUUUAAAGAAAGCGUAAUAGCUCACUAGUCGAGUCGGCCUGCGCGGAAGAUGUAACGGGGCUCAAACCAGGCACCGAAGCCGCGGAUUCACACUAAGUGUGAGUGGUAGGGGAGCGUUCUGUAAGUCUGCGAAGGUGUGUCGAGAGGCAUGCUGGAGAUAUCAGAAGUGCGAAUGCUGACGUAAGUAACGAUAAAGGGGGUGAAAAGCCUCCUCGCCGGAAGACCAAGGGUUCCUGUCCAACGUUAAUCGGGGCAGGGUGAGUCGACCCCUAAGGCGAGGCCGAAAGGCGUAGUCGAUGGGAAGCAGGUUAAUAUUCCUGCACGACUUGUAAUUGCGAUGGGGGGACGGAGAAGGCUAGGUGGGCCAGGCGACGGUUGUCCUGGUGAAAGUGCGUAGGUGGUGUUUCUAGGCAAAUCCGGAGACACAACACUGAGACACGAGACGAACGCACUACGGUGCGGAAGCCAUUGAUGCCCUGCUUCCAGGAAAAGCCUCUAAGCUUCAGAUUACAAGUCAUCGUACCCCAAACCGACACAGGUGGUCGGGUAGAGAAUACCAAGGCGCUUGAGAGAACUCGGGUGAAGGAACUAGGCAAAAUAGAACCGUAACUUCGGGAGAAGGUUCGCUCUUGACAGUGAAGUCCCUUGCGGAUGGAGCAGUUGGGAGUCGCAGUGACCAGAUGGCUGGGACUGUUUAUCAAAAACACAGCACUCUGCAAACACGAAAGUGGACGUAUAGGGUGUGACACCUGCCCGGUGCCGGAAGGUUAAUUGAUGGGGUUAGCGCAAGCGAAGCUCUUGAUCGAAGCCCCGGUAAACGGCGGCCGUAACUAUAACGGUCCUAAGGUAGCGAAAUUCCUUGUCGGGUAAGUUCCGACCUGCACGAAUGGUGUAACCAUGGCCAUGCUGUCUCCACCCGAGACUCAGUGAAAUCGAAUUCGCCGUGAAGAUGCGGUGUACCCGCGGCUAGACGGAAAGACCCCGUGAACCUUUACUACAGCUUGGCACUGAACAUUGAACCUACAUGUGUAG